UACGUAGGGGGCUAGCGUUGUCCGGAAUCAUUGGGCGUAAAGAGCGUGUAGGCGGCCCGGUAAGUCCGCUGUGAAAGUCGGGGGCUCAACCCUCGAAUGCCGGUGGAUACUGUCGGGCUAGAGUGCGGAAGAGGCGAGUGGAAUUCCUGGUGUAGCGGUGAAAUGCGCAGAUAUCAGGAGGAACACCGAUAGCGAAGGCAGCUCGCUGGGACGGUACUGGCGCUGAGGCGCGAAAGCGUGGGGAGCGAACAGG
rnacentral:rRNA from 1 species